rnacentral:rRNA from 1 species
UACGUAGGGUGCGAGCGUUGUCCGGAAUUAUUGGGCGUAAAGGGCUCGUAGGCGGUUUGUCGCGUCGGGAGUGAAAUCCACUGGCUUAACUGGUGGCUUGCUUUCGAUACGGGCAGACUGGAGGUAUGCAGGGGAGAGCGGAAUUCCUGGUGUAGCGGUGAAAUGCGCAGAUAUCAGGAGGAACACCGGUGGCGAAGGCGGUUCUCUGGGCAUGUCCUGACGCUGAGGAGCGAAAGCCAGGGGAGCAAACGGG